rnacentral:rRNA from 1 species
UCGAGAAUUUUUCACAAUGGGGGAAACCCUGAUGGAGCGACGCCGCGUGGGGGAUGAAUGGCUUCGGCCCGUAAACCCCUGUCAUUCGGGAUCAAUUCCGCCAACCUAACCCGUUGUCGGCUGAUAGUACUGAAAGAGGAAGGGACGGCUAACUCUGUGCCAGCAGCCGCGGUAAUACAGAGGUCCCAAGCGUUGUUCGGAUUUACUGGGCGUAAAGGGAGCGUAGGUGGCGGGCUAAGUCUGGUGUGAAAUCUCUGGGCUCAACUCAGAAAUGGCAUCAGAAACUAGUCUGCUAGAGGAUUGGAGGGGAGACUGGAAUUCUCGGUGUAGCAGUGAAAUGCGUAGAUAUCGAGAGGAACACCAGUGGCGAAGGCGAGUCUCUGGACAAUUCCUGACACUGAUGCUCGAAAGCUAGGGGAGCAAA